rnacentral:rRNA from 1 species
UACGUAGGUGGCGAGCGUUAUCCGGAAUUACUGGGCGUAAAGGGUGCGUAGGUGGUUUCUUAAGUCAGAAGUGAAAGGCUACGGCUCAACCGUAGUAAGCUUUUGAAACUGAGAAACUUGAGUGCAGGAGAGGAGAGUAGAAUUCCUAGUGUAGCGGUGAAAUGCGUAGAUAUUAGGAGGAAUACCAGUUGCGAAGGCGGCUCUCGGGACUGUAACUGACACUGAGGCACGAAAGCGUGGGGAGCAAACAGG